CCUGCCAGCUGUUAUAUGCUUGUCUCAAAGAUUAAGCCAUGCAUGUCUAAGUUCAAGCGAAAAUAAAGUGAAACCGCGAAUGGCUCAUUACAUCAGUUAUGGUUCCUUAGAUCGCACUUACUACUUGGAUAACUGUGGUAAUUCUAGAGCUAAUACAUGCAUUGAGCUCCAACCUUUGGAAGGAGCGCUUUUAUUAGAUCAAAGCCAAUCGAGUUUCGGCUCGUUGUUUGGUGACUCUGAAUAACUUUGCUGAUCGCAUGGUCUUGUACCGGCGACGUAUCUUUCAAGUGUCUGCCUUAUCAACUUUCGAUGGUAGGUUAUGCGCCUACCAUGGUUGUAACGGGUAACGGGGAAUUAGGGUUCGAUUCCGGAGAGGGAGCCUGAGAAACGGCUACCACAUCCAAGGAAGGCAGCAGGCGCGCAAAUUACCCACUCCCAGCACGGGGAGGUAGUGACGAAAAAUAACGAUGCUAAACUCAUACGAGGCUUAGCAAUCGGAAUGAGUACACUUUAAAUCCUUUAACGAGGAUCUAUUGGAGGGCAAGUCUGGUGCCAGCAGCCGCGGUAAUUCCAGCUCCAAUAGCGUAUACGCAUGUUGCUGUUGUUAAAAAGCUCGUAGUUGGAUCUCGGUUUCGGGCGGGUGGUGCACCUUGCGGUGUUUACUGUCUGCCCGGACGAUUUUGUUGGUUCGUUCAUGGUGCUCUUAAUCGGGUGCCUUGAGUGGCCAGCACGUUUACUUUGAAAAAAUUGGAGUGCUCAAAGCAGGCGCUACAGCCUGAACAUUUGUGCAUGGAAUAAUGGAAUAGGAUCUCGGUUCUAUUUCGUUGGCUUUCGGAGUCGAGGUAAUGAUUAAUAGGGACAGACGGGGGCAUUCGUACUGCGACGUUAGAGGUGAAAUUCUUGGAUCGUCGCAAGACGAACUACUGCGAAAGCAUUUGCCAAGAAUGUUUUCAUUAAUCAAGAACGAAAGUUAGAGGUUCGAAGGCGAUCAGAUACCGCCCUAGUUCUAACCAUAAACGAUGUCGACUGGCGAUCCGGCUCCGUUAACUGAAUGACUAGCCGGGCAGUCUCCGGGAAACCAAAGUUUUUGGAUUCAAGGGGAAGUAUGGUUGCAAAGCUGAAACUUAAAGGAAUUGACGGAAGGGCACCACCAGGAGUGGAGCCUGCGGCUUAAUUUGACCCAACACGGGAAAACU
rnacentral:rRNA from 1 species